rnacentral:rRNA from 1 species
GACGAACGCUGGCGGCGUGCUUAACACAUGCAAGUCGAACGGAAAGGCCUCUUUCGGGGGGUACUCGCGUGGCGAACGGGUGAGUAACACGUGAGUAACCUGCCCUUGACUUUGGGAUAACUUCAGGAAACUGGGGCUAAUACCGGAUAGGAGCUCCUGCUGCCUGGUGGGGGUUGGAAAGUUUCGGCGGUUGGGGAUGGACUCGCGGCUUAUCAGCUUGUUGGUGGGGUAGUGGCUUACCAAGGCUUUGACGGGUAGCCGGCCUGAGAGGGUGACCGGCCGCAUUGGGACUGAGAUGCGGCCCAGACUCCUACGGGAGGCAGCAGUGGGGAAUAUUGCACAAUGGGUGGAGGCCUGAUGCAGCAACGCCGGGUGCGGGAUGACGGCCUUCGGGUUGUAAACCGCUUUCGCUCAUGACGAAGCUUUGUGUGACGGUAGUGGGUAAAGAAGCACCGGCUAACUACGUG